GUAUUGUUUGUAAAGGUCCAAAAGACCCACAUCAACAUUCUAUUACAUUUUUAUGGAGUAUAUGCAAAAAAACAUAGACUUAGAACCACAAGAAGAGCUGGACUUUCUGGCACAGCAAUUCUCUAGAAAUCCAAAGAAGAAAAAAAAUGCUUCCUCGAGAGCCGUUUCAUGUCUACAGAAGGUGCACAGGUGGUUGAAAUGGAGCAGGCGUGCACAUUGCCCCAGAGGGCCAGCAACAACCCAACCAAAUUUUCAUUAAUGAUCCUUCCGCAGGUUCACCUACGGAAA
rnacentral:misc_RNA from 1 species